AUGAUAUAAAUACAAGUUAUCUUAUAAUAAAAUAAAUAAAGUUCAUAGUAGAUAAAUAGAGUUAGACGCUUUAUUUAUAUUUAGACUGUAAUAAAUUUAUUGAAUAAUUUGUCUUAAUCAUGUAUGAAUUUACUGAUGUAGUUUGACUACAUUGAACUUAAUCACAUAUGAGAUUUAAUUAACUUUAAAAUAACUGUCAAACUUAUUAAAUCUCAUAGACAUUGAUUUUUAUUGUAAUCUCAAUCUUGAGUUAAUUAUAGUUUCAUGUUUGUGAUUGUCAUUUCAUUUGAGUUACAAAUGGACGCGACAUAUGUUUGUUGUUAAGAUUACCCAAUAUCUUGGUGGAAGCAAUUAUGAGCAGUAAGAUUAUAGAUUAACAAUAUAGAAUUUGUACAACACAUCUCUUGACAGGUUUUCGAUAUUUGAUCAUAAAAUUCUCUAGGCAGAAUGUGUCAACAUAAUUAAUAUGUUGAAAAUGAUCAUUAGAGAAACCAGUAAGUGUCAAAGAAUAAGACGUAAUUAAAUUGAUUGGACAGUUGAUAUAUCGAUUUAAUUAGCGAUGUGGUACAAAAGAUUGUUCAGUAAAGAAAUCAAUGUGGCAUAGGUCCAAUUAUUAAUCGAAAACACUAUCCUAAAUAGUAUACAAUUGUGGUGGUAAGUUCCAAUCUUUUAGUGGAGUACAUUUGAAAUUAAAUAAUUGGGCUAGACUAGUUUAAUUACAUGCCUUAUUAUUGUAGCCACUAUUGUAUGUACCCAUAUGAUCCCUGGGUUAGCUCAUUUAAUUGACUGCACCAUUACUGGAUUAAUAAGCAAGAUAACUAGUUAUUUGGGUUAAAAGUCAAAAUAUUUUAUUUAGUAGGAGGCUUCAUUUAAUAAGCAAGAUAACUAGUUAUUUAGGUUAAAAGCCUAAAUAUUUUAUUUGGUGGGAGGCUUCAUUUAAUAUGCUUAUGUGUAAGGGUGUGUUAUUUUAUAAGGUGGGCCCCUAUAAUAAGAACAAGUGCAACGCCACUUUUGAUUUCUCUCAUAUCUUUUAAUUUAAAUCAAAUAUUUUGAUUUAAUAGAAUUAAAGAAAAGGGAAAUAAAUAAGGAUUCUAGGGUUUUUACCAAAUAGAGAUAUAAAAAUUCUUUGUUUUCUCCACAAAGAAGUGAUACAUGAGUCAUAAUAUAUAGAUCAGAGAAAAAAGAGUUUUUUUUUUCUCUAAUGUUGAGAGGAAAAUUUUCUCUUACUAGUUGCUUUUAGUAGUGAUAAAGGCCCUCACACUCAAGUGUAGAUCAAACUUGAGUCAUAACCUGAAAGAUCAUUGGAGACGAAUCAUGGUCUAACAAGAUUAUUGAUGACAGAUUGUGAUUUGGGAGCCUAAAUUACUUCUACGAAAAAAAAAAAAGGUAAAGGUGCGAUUUCUAAAUUAUGGUAAUUUUAUAUAUUGUAUGAGAAUUGCAAUUCAAAUAUUUCCGCUGAAAACUAUUUUUAAACCAACAAUCACCCCCUUAAUAUGUUGAGGUGGUGGGACAGUUUCACACAAGUUUUUCUUGGGCCAAUCAAGCUCUGACGGAGUAGUGAGCUGUUAAGGAUAGUGAUUUGUCUCGUUAUGGGGACUCUAUAAUUUUCUUUCUUAGAUUAUAUGUUUGGAGGUAGAUAUUUUCCUUAUUUGUGUGGGAGAAAUAUGUAUUUCUCUAAUAUUAAUAAGGGGAGAAAUAUUAUUAACUAUGUUAAAAAAGGAAAAAUUAAAAAAAAAAUACCAAAUAAGACAUUCCUCCGAAAUUAGCAAUAGUAUAAAUAUCAAUAUCAUUUUUAUUGAACACUUAUAUAUAUAUAUAUUCAAUAAAAAGAAAAACUAAAUAUCAUGUGUGUAUAACGUAUGUUUUUUUCCGAGUUUAAAAAUAAGUGGAAGAUAAUUUAUCGGGCGUGACUGCAUUCCAACACUUUUAAGGUAGCGUUUACUUUUUGGAUUGGAGUGGGAAUCCUGAGGAGUGGGAAUCCUAGGAUUGGGAGUGUGGAGUGGGAGUGAGAGUAUGUUGUUUACUUACACUGGAAUGGAAGUAUGGAAUGAAAAUCAGAAUCCAAUUUAUGUGUUUACUUUGUCUUGGAUUGGGAGUAAAUAGUUUCAAAUUACAAUUUUAUCCUUAUUUAAAGAAUUAUAGUUUUUAAUUACAAAGCUAAUAAAAAAUAUAUUUAAUGAAUAAAUAUUUAUUUUAUUAUAUUUGUAAAUUUAUAAUAAUUAUUAAUAUUCUUAAUUAUGAACAUCACAUUUUUUAUCAAUUUUAAUUCUAAUAUAAAAUGAAACAUUAUUUUAUUUUAUUUAAUUAUAUUAAAUUUAUUAUUAUAUAAAAUAAUAAUAUAAUAUUAUUUAGUACAAAAUUAAUAUUUUCUUAGAAUAAAAUAUUUAUUAUUAUUAAUAUUAAAUAAAUAUAGUACUAUUAUUUUUAAAAUAAAUACAAUAAUAUUAUAUUUAUUAAUUCUCUAUUAAUAUAAUAAUAUUCUUUUAAAAUAAUUUUAACUUAGAAUCAAUACAAAUUAUUUAGUUAAAUAUAAUAAUAUUAUUCAAAUAAAUAUAAUAUUAUUUAUUUUAUUUUAUUAAUUAUAAAAUAUUAAAUUGAAUUAAAAAUAAAAAAAAAGAUAGAAAAGGAAGAGGUGGGAGUGGGAAUGGAUUCCCACUCCCACUUCCCCCAAUGGGAGUCCCACUCCCACUCCCGCUCCCCACUCCAAAAAUGGAUGGGGCCCACGGAAUGGGAUUCCCACUCCUUCACUAAAUAAGUGAAGUAAACACUGGAGUGGGAGGAAUCCACACUCCUCACUCCCACUCCAAAAAAUAAAUACACCCUAAGUUGAUUGGACACAAUUCUCUGGUUAAGGAUAAUAACUUUUCUGUUAUUCAUAAUAUUUUAAACAUAUGAAUUCGCCUAAUGUGUGCUACAGAAUAUUUUCGAAGUAUGAUGGCAGUAUUGUUAUAAUAGCCAGAAGACUGUAAGACUAGUUUUAUAAAACCCUGAGAAUUGAUAAUUGUCUUCAACAUGUGACUAAAAGACAUGAAAAUUGUGAAGUUGUCCCAAAAUUAAAAUUAUUUAUUAAUAGGUGGGGCUAUUUGUUUUCUAAUUUGUAUUACUAAACUAAUGCUGAAGUAAUUUAGCAUCAAUGAUAUCAUAUGUACGACUCCUUAACGCCAUACAAGUACUAAUUCAUCUUAAGACUUCUUCUUCUUCAUCGUCGCACCCCACAAUCAAUUGAUUUGAAUUGAAUUCAAGACAAACAUGUAUAUUUAAAAAUUGAAGAAAGGAAGGAAACGAAAUUGAUAAAUUUGUGCAGGCACCGCUCAUGUAGAAAAAUACCAAAGCAAAAGUUGUUUUUGUGAUUAGAGCUUCCUUUCAAUCGUGACUUCAACUAAAUCAGAAUGUACUUAGGACUUUGGUAAACAAAAAUGAUACAACGAACCAACGGCGAAAUUUUAUGGAUUUAUAAAGAAAAUAAGUUAAUGGCAUAGUCUAAUUGAAGGGUUGUUUUGGUGUAAAAUAUAUGUUUUAAAUUAAAUGAAUGAUUGUGUAGAAUAAGAAGUAUUCAAAGCAAGCAAGAUUUUAUAGUCUCACUCUUUUUUAAUUUUUUAAUCCGUCAUGUAGGCCCCGUAACUUACAGAGCACGUUGACUUGAGUUAGUUGAUUUUUUCCUGAUGUUCAAUUUGGACCGUUGAUUCAAUCCAACGGUCCCAAUUUCAGAUUGCUUUCAAAUAUAAAAUGAUUUUUUUUGGGUUAUUUUUCGCCACCCCUCAUAAGAAUCGAUAAAUAUUACCGCGCACCCUAAUGUUUCAACAACUAUUACUACACACCUAUUCCGUUAGAAAUCACCGUUAACUUAACUACUACAAGGAUAGAAUAGUAAAGUUAUAGGGAUGAAUAAAGGAAAAAGAAAGAAAAAAUUUUAUUUUUUUCCUUCCUUCACCAUAACUCCAUUCACACUCCAUCUUCGUCUCUCCUCUAUUCACAUUCCACAACAAGCGCUUAUUUCUUCCCUUUUCCAUUUACGCUCCCCAGCAAGGGCUGUUCGCUUUUCCCUUCCAUCGACGUCACAAGGGUUACAUAACCAACUGCACUGCCAUAACAAAUGCUCAUUUUUGGGUGGAAAUAAGCGACGGGAGCGUGACGCGAGAUCGGGAGGCUUCUGGCAAUUCGCAGAGUCACGGCCUGCUGCUGACUGACGCGGCAUCGUCAAUGGUGACUAGCAACUGCAAAAUCACAACCCUAAAAUUUUAGGGUUUCCAUGUUAUUGUUUACUGAUUUUUAAGUUUAGGUAUUUUAUAUUUGUUUGAUAUAUAAAUUAUUUUGAUUGUGCGUAGAAAUUCAAAGUUUAUGUUGUUUGUGGUGCUUUCAAAGUAAAUAAUAUAUUCCAAUUAAUUUUAGUUUUAGUUUAAUUUUAUUAAAAAAAAGCUUAAUUUAUUGUAAUUAUUUUCGGUAUGUAUUUCAUCAUUUUUGUUUUACGUUUUAUAAUUAUCUUUUCAAGAAAAUAAAUGGGCAACUGCCAAAUAAUAUAUUCCUGUAAUUUCUUUAUAAAUAUAUGGGUCAUUUAAUAAUUACAGUCAAUUCAAUUUGUACAAGGGACAAUGUGGUGAUUUCAGUAAAUAUCUGUCAAAACCGUUAAAGUGAAUGGUGAUUUCUAAUGGAAUAGGUGUACGGUGAUAGUUGUUGAAAAAUUAGGGUGCACGGUAAUAUUUAUCGAUUCUUAGGGGGGUGGCGAAAAAUAACCCUUUUUUUUAUAUUUUCUUGUGUGCAAAAGUUUAAGCAGAAACCACAAUUCAAAUUACGUGUCAGUGGCGUGCAGCCAUUUAUUUAUUAUUUAUUUGUUUGACUUUCCCUAUCACAAUUAUUUAUUUGCUUCGUCAGAAUCACCACGUUGGCACUCUCGGCUAUUUGAUCUAUAAAUUGGAUACUUGAAGAGUAUGGAAAUUCAUUGCGCAGGUUUUUUAUUAGGCCUACUGCAUCAGAAUUUUUUUUUAAAUUUUUAAUAUGGACAAAUGUGAAUAAUUUUCUAUUAUGAACUUUUCAAGUAAAAAAGAUUGGUUAGAGAGUUUUCUUAUUCCUGAUAAUAAUACUACCAAUGAUAAUUUUAAUUUUUUUACAGUCUCUUAAUAUAGAAAAAGUCAUGCUCACAAUUAAAUAAAGGCAUCAUAUAUGUUGGAGCAUCUCCAAUCUAAAGUAAUUAAAAUGGGCCGUUGGAUAUAUGUGAAAAGAAUCCAAAAACAAUUGUAAUAAUAUGCAUUCAACGAUUUUAGUGACUGUUUUACAUUAGAGAUGCUCUAAUAUAGUUAAACCCUUAAAUAAAAGGAUAAAAAUUAUUAUUACAUGUCUAUCAUAUAAGUAUUGUUUCACUUCAAAUACCAAGAUCUCUUGAGAUCUAAAGAUUAUUUAUUUAUUUAUUUGUACUUUGUCUUCCUAAAGAAUAAAAUUAAUAAAUAAAAUCACUGUACAUAAGAAUGUUGAUUAUGUCUAUCAUGUAACUACUGAUUUGACUUAGUUUAGUUACCAAGAUCUCAUGAGAUCUGAAGAUUUCCUUCAUUUAUUUAUACUUUCUCUUCCCAAAAAUUAAUAUUAAUAAAUAGAAUCAGUGUGUAUGAGAGUACUGAUUAAGUUAAUCUAUCUAUAUCAACUUGAUUAAACUAUCUUUCCUUUAAAUUCUUUUGUUAUGGCAAACUGAAAGAUAUUUUCUGCAAGUCUUCCGAAAAGGAAAUUAUAGUCCUAAGGUCAUGGUCCAAAUAGUGAAGCAUUUUGUAACCCAGAACAUUAACUUCAUGAGGCGCACAAUUAAGCAUCAUCAACAUAAAAACUUUUUUAAAAGUAAGUUGAAUGAUUAUAUUGGCCAUGGUUUAUGACCAAUUCAAUUGGAACGGUAACUCCGUUAUCACACCAGUCUUAAUCUCUUGGAUAGAGAUGGCCAACAACCUUUGUCGGCAUUAAAGGAAUGCUCAUGCAGGCUCGAACUUAUGUCAUGCUGUGCUCAUCAUGUGCUUCAUGCUAUGUGGUACGGUGCUGUCUUUUCUUUUUGCUUAGGCCCGACUUGACACACACAUAUUGUGCCCACGUAUGCCAUGCCGUCGGCUGUGCUAUAAGGUGCUUAAGAAAAAAGCCUAAUA
rnacentral:lncRNA from 1 species